rnacentral:rRNA from 1 species
ACUCAAAUGAAUUGACGGGGGCCCGCACAAGCGGUGGAGCAUGUGGUUCAAUUCGACGCAACGCGAAGAACCUUACCUGGGCUCGAACGGCUCACGAACGUCCUUGGAAACAGGGAUUUCCCGCAAGGGACGGGAGUCGAGGUGCUGCAUGGCUGUCGUCAGCUCGUGUCGUGAGAUGUUGGGUUAAGUCCCGCAACGAGCGCAACCCUUGUCCUGUGUUACCAUGCCGAAAGGCGGCACUCGCAGGAGACCGCCAGCGAUAAGCUGGAGGAAGGUGGGGAUGACGUCAAGUCCUCAUGGCCUUUAUGUCCAGGGCUACACACGUGCUACAAUGGGCGGUACAAAGCGCUGCGAAGCCGCAAGGUGGAGCCAAUCGCAGAAAGCCGCUCUCAGUUCGGAUUGCAGGCUGCAACUCGCCUGCAUGAAGCUGGAAUCGCUAGUAAUGCUAUAUCAGAACGAUAGCGUGAAUACGUUCCCGGGCCUUGUACACACCGCCCGU